rnacentral:rRNA from 1 species
ACUCCUACGGGAGGCAGCAGUAGGAAGUCUUCCACAAUGGGCGCAAGCCUGAUGGAGCAACACCGCGUGAGUGAAGAAGGGUUUCGGCUCGUAAAGCUCUGUUGUUAAAGAAGAACACGUAUGAGAGUAACUGUUCAUACGUUGACGGUAUUUAACCAGAAAGUCACGGCUAACUACGUGCCAGCAGCCGCGGUAAUACGUAGGUGGCAAGCGUUAUCCGGAUUUAUUGGGCGUAAAGAGAGUGCAGGCGGUUUUCUAAGUCUGAUGUGAAAGCCUUCGGCUUAACCGGAGAAGUGCAUCGGAAACUGGAUAACUUGAGUGCAGAAGAGGGUAAGUGGAACUCCAUGUGUAGCGGUGGAAUGCGUAGAUAUAUGGAAGAACACCAAGUGGCGAACGGCGGCUACCUGGUCUGCAACUGACGCGUG